rnacentral:rRNA from 1 species
AUACGUAGGGUGCAAGCGUUAAUCGGAAUUACUGGGCGUAAAGCGUGCGCAGGCGGUUUUGUAAGACAGUGGUGAAAUCCCCGGGCUCAACCUGGGAACUGCCAUUGUGACUGCAAGGCUGGAGGGCGGCAGAGGGGGAUGGAAUUCCGCGUGUAGCAGUGAAAUGCGUAGAUAUGCGGAGGAACACCGAUGGCGAAGGCAAUCCCCUGGGCCUGCACUGACGCUCAUGCACGAAAGCGUGGGGAGCAAACAGGAUUAGAUACCCUGGUAGUCCACGCCCUAAACGAUGUCAACUGGUUGUUGGGGAUUUAUUUUCUCAGUAACGAAGCUAACGCGUGAAGUUGACCGCCUGGGGAGUACGGCCGCAAGGUUAAAACUCAAAUGAAUUGACGGGG